rnacentral:sRNA from 1 species
CUGUUGCACAGGCUGAGAGGGGCGAGAACCCUCGACAGGGUUUGACAAAACGCGUGCGUUUUGGACCGCCAAAGGCGGCCCGCAGGGUGAGCGCAGCGAAUCACCCCCUCUCUCACCGCCA